GGGAAGCAGAUGGGAGGUCACAGGCAGGGAUGAGACUGGUGGGAUAUUUGUGGAAGGAGUGAAGGACGCUGUGAGUACACCUCAGCUAUGGCGUUGCUGUGCUACAACAAGGGCUGUGGGCAGAGGUUUGAUCCUGAGCACAACGCCAAGGAUUCCUGCCUGUACCACCCGGGUGUCCCCAUCUUCCACGAUGCCCUGAAGGGCUGGUCUUGUUGCAAGAAACGCACAACAGACUUCUCCGAGUUCCUCUCCAUAAAGGUGAGUGACCUGCCAGCCCAAAUGCACCCACUGCUCCUCUGUCCUCUCC